rnacentral:rRNA from 1 species
GUAGGUGGCAAGCGUUGUCCGGAAUUAUUGGGCGUAAAGCGCGCGCAGGCGGGUUUUUUAAGUCUGAUGUGAAAGCCCACGGGCUCAACCGUGGAGGGUCAUUGGAAACUGGAGAACUUGAGUACAGAAGAGGAAAGCGGAAUUCCACGUGUAGCGGUGAAAUGCGUAGAGAUGUGGAGGAACACCAGUGGCGAAGGCGGCUUUCUGGUCUGUAACUGACGCUGAGGCGCGAAAGCGUGGGGAGCAAACAGGAUUAGAUACCCUGGUAGUCCACGCCGUAAACGAUGAGUGCUAAGUGUUAGGGGGGUUUCCGCCCCUUAGUGCUGCAGCUAACGCAUUAAGCACUCCGCCUGGGGAGUACGGCCGCAAAGGCUG